GAAGAUUCAAAAACGCUUCAAGAAGGAUGCACUUUUAGCAAAAUUAUAGGAAAAAGCUCCCACAUGGACGCUCUUUUGCUAUAGUAGUAUCUGAUAAAAUAAUUUUGAGAAGAUGUUUUUGAACAAAUAGUGUCAAAAACGAAGGAUGCACUUUCAGCAAAAUUACGGGAAAAAGCUCCCACGUGGACGCUCUUUUGCUACAGUAGUAUCUGAUAAAAUAAUUUUGAGAAGAUGUUUCUGAACAAAUAGUGUCAAAAACGCUUAAAGAAUGAUGCACUUUCAGCAAAAU
rnacentral:lncRNA from 1 species